rnacentral:rRNA from 1 species
AAGCCCCAGUAAACGGCGGCCGUAACUAUAACGGUCCUAAGGUAGCGAAAUUCCUUGUCGGGUAAGUUCCGACCUGCACGAAUGGCGUAACGACUUGGGCGCUGUCUCAACCAUAGACUCGGUGAAAUUGUACUAUUCGUGAAGAUGCGAAUUACCCGCGGAAGGACGGAAAGACCCCGUGAACCUUUACUACAGCUUGACAUCGAUCAUUGGUUUGUCGUGUAGAGGAUAGGUGGGAGGCUGCGAAGCCGGGACGCCAGUUUCGGUGGAGCCACCCUUGGAAUACCACCCUCGGCAGAUUGAUGAUCUAACCCCGUGCCGUGAAUCCGGGCGGGGGACCGUGUCAGGUGGGUAGUUUGACUGGGGCGGUCGCCUCCUAAAAUGUAACGGAGGCGCGCGUAAGGUUGGCUCAGAACGGUUGGCAAUCGUUCGUAGAGUGCAAGAGCAUAAGCCAGCUUGACUGCGAGACCUACAAGUCGAGCAGAGACGAAAGUCGGCUCUAGUGAUCCGGCGGCUCAGAGUGGAAUGGCCGUCGCUCAACGGAUAAAAGGUACUCCGGGGAUAACAGGCUGAUCCUCCCCAAGAGUCCACAUCGACGGGAGGGUUUGGCACCUCGAUGUCGGCUCAUCGCAUCCUGGGGCUGGAGUAGGUCCCAAGGGUAUGGCUGUUCGCCAUUUAAAGCGGUACGCGAGCUGGGUUUAGAACGUCGUGAGACAGUUCGGUCCCUAUCCUCCGUGGGCGUAGGUGAAUUGAGGGAGGCUGCUCCUAGUACGAGAGGACCGGAGCGGACGAACCUCUGGUGUACCAGUUGUCGACCAACGGCACCGCUGGUUAGCUACGUUCGGUCGGGAUAACCGCUGAAAGCAUCUAAGCGGGAAGCCCAUCCCAAGAUGAGUUCACCCACUGGGUUAACCAGGUAAGGCUCGUCGUAGACUACGACGUUGAUAGGCUGCAGGUGUAGGCACGGCAACGUGUAUAGCCGAGCAGUACUAAUUGGCCGAGGUCUUGAUCUCAUUC